CGCACCUUGCGCCCCUUGGUAUUCCGAGGGGCACGCCUGUUUGAGUGUCGUGAAUUCCUCCACCCUCAGGUCUUUGUUGAACUGAUGGGUUGGGACUUGGAGGUCUUGCGGGUCUAGGUCCGCUCCUCUUGAAUGCAUGAGUGAAGUUCUCACUCGGCCUUGGUGUGAUAGUUAUCUACGCCUUGGUUCGAUCGCUUCGGCGGGGCUUUGCUUCCAACCGUCUUCGGACAAUCUCAUUGACUUGACCUCAAAUCAGGCGGGACUACCCGCUGAACUUAA
rnacentral:misc_RNA from 1 species